CACGUAGGGGGCGAGCGUUGUCCGGAUUUAUUGGGCGUAAAGAGCUCGUAGGCGGCUCAGUAAGUCAGGUGUGAAAACUCCAGGCUCAACCUGGAGACGCCACCUGAUACUGCUGUGGCUAGAGUCCGGUAGGGGAGCAUGGAAUUCCUGGUGUAGCGGUGAAAUGCGCAGAUAUCAGGAGGAACACCAGUGGCGAAGGCGGUGCUCUGGGCCGGAACUGACGCUGGAGGAGCGAAAAGCGUGGGGAGCAAA
rnacentral:rRNA from 1 species